GUAUGCCCGAAUGCCAACACAUUCACUGAAAUUGGAGCAGUACAGAGAAGAUGGCUAUGGCCCCUGCUCAAGCCUGCAAGUUAAUGAAGCAUUCCAUGUUUUU